rnacentral:rRNA from 1 species
GCUANANAUGCAGUCGAGCGGNAGNACGGGUACUUGUACCUGGUGGCGAGCGGCGGACGGGUGAGUAAUGCCUAGGAAUCUGCCUGGUAGUGGGGGAUAACGCUCGGAAACGGACGCUAAUACCGCAUACGUCCUACGGGAGAAAGCAGGGGACCUUCGGGCCUUGCGCUAUCAGAUGAGCCUAGGUCGGAUUAGCUAGUUGGUGAGGUAAUGGCUCACCAAGGCGACGAUCCGUAACUGGUCUGAGAGGAUGAUCAGUCACACUGGAACUGAGACACGGUCCAGACUCCUACGGGAGGCAGCAGUGGGGAAUAUUGGACAAUGGGCGAAAGCCUGAUCCAGCCAUGCCGCGUGUGUGAAGAAGGUCUUCGGAUUGUAAAGCACUUUAAGUUGGGAGGAAGGGCAGUUACCUAAUACGUAUCUGUUUUGACGUUACCGACAGAAUAAGCACCGGCUAACUCUGUGCCAGCAGCCGCGGUAAUACAGAGGGUGCAAGCGUUAAUCGGAAUUACUGGGCGUAAAGCGCGCGUAGGUGGUUUGUUAAGUUGGAUGUGAAAUCCCCGGGCUCAACCUGGGAACUGCAUUCAAAACUGACAAGCUAGAGUAUGGUAGAGGGUGGUGGAAUUUCCUGUGUNNC